AACUUUCAACAACGGAUCUCUUGGUUCCGGCAUCGAUGAAGAACGCAGCGAAAUGCGAUAAGUAAUGUGAAUUGCAGAAUUCCGUGAAUCAUCGAAUCUUUGAACGCACAUUGCGCCCCCUGGUAUUCCGGGGGGCAUGCCUGUCCGAGCGUCAUU
rnacentral:rRNA from 1 species